GUCUACGGCCAUACCACACUGAACGCGCCCGAUCUCGUCUGAUCUGGGAAGCUAAGCAGGGUCGGGCCUGGUUAGUACUUGGAUGGGAGAAACAAUGAACUAUCAAGCACUUGUUGGAA
rnacentral:rRNA from 1 species